GUGUCCCCCGCAGCCCCCGAUCGCCCCAAGCUGCCGCAGCUGCCCUCGCCCGCCCCGGCUCCAGCUCACUCACCACGUACGAAGAGAAGGCGGCGGCUGCCGCCGCCGCGGGGUCGGCGCCGUACUGGAGGUGCGAGUUGUAGCCCGGCGAGGGCGCCGUGAAGGCGGUGGAGCCGGCGUAGGGCGAGAACGCGGAGCCCGACGACGAGCGCCCGAGCUCAUCCGUGCGGGGCCCCGAGAUGACGCUGGUGCUGUACGCCGGGCACGAGUAGAGCGCCAGCGAGGCGGACGGCUGGUACAAGUAGCCCUGCGGAAUCGUUUCCAUUUUCUGUGCAGGUUUUAAGUAUGAUGUUUCCGUAAUACAUUUGGAUGUUUUCAGCUAAGCUCACUUCUGAACCAUGGGGUUCCUCCAAAUGUUGACUGAAAUUUGUCCUUGUGCAUCCCCAGGCUCAUCUGCAAAAUCUACAGUCCAUAAUGGAGCUACUGUACUGGCUAUUGGAAGAAGGAGAUUCUGAAGAUAGGGAGUUCAUCAAGAAGCCAAAGAUCUUAUGCCUGACUAAGAAUCUCCAUAUCUAACUUGAUUCAGCUGUCAGUCUGAAAUUUCCUGUGGUCUGUUCAGUCUAGAUGCAAAGGCCAUGGAAAAAUCAAGUGCUCAAGUGGUUUAAAUAUGUUUUGGAUGUUCUUAUUUAUAGAUUACAGUAUUUUUCCACUUAAAAUCCACAGUUGUCAUGCAGAAGAAGGUUAUGCCCUUCUAGAUCACCAAUUUUAUUUGACAUGCUUAGCGUUGUAAUGUAUUACCAAGUGCUAUCUGUUUUAAUCAAAGUAUAGAAAAAAUAAAAUCAAUUUUAUAUGUUGA